rnacentral:rRNA from 1 species
CCUACGGGAGGCAGCAGUGGGGAAUAUUGCACAAUGGGGGAAACCCUGAUGCAGCGACGCCGCGUGAGUGAAGAAGUAAUUCGUUAUGUAAAGCUCUAUCAGCAGGGAAGAAAAUGACGGUACCUGAGUAAGAAGCCCCGGCUAACUACGUGACAGCAGCCGCGGUAAUACGUAGGGGGCAAGCGUUAUCCGGAUUUACUGGGUGUAAAGGGGGCGUAGACGGCAGUGCAAGUCUGGAGUGAAAGGCGGGAGCUCAACCCCCGUACUGCUCUUGAAACUGUACGGCUGGAGUGCAGGAGAGGUAAGUGGAAUUCAUAGUGUAGCGGUGAAAUGCGUAGAUAUUAGGAGGAACACCAGUGGCGAAGGCGGCUUACUGGACUGUAACUGACGUUGAGGCUCGAAAGCGUGGGGAGCAAACAGGAUUAGAUACCCUUGUAGUC